rnacentral:rRNA from 1 species
CCUACGGGUGGCAGCAGUGGGGAAUAUUGGGCAAUGGGCGCAAGCCUGACCCAGCAACGCCGCGUGAAGGAAGAAGGCUUUCGGGUUGUAAACUUCUUUUCUGAGGGACGAAGAAAGUGACGGUACCCUAGGAAUAAGCCACGGCUAACUACUUGCCAGCGGCCGCGUUAAUACGUGGGUGGCAAGCGUUUUCCGGAUUUGUUGGGUGUAAAGGGCGUGUAGGCGGGAAAGCAAGUCAGAUGUGAAAACUCAGGGCUCAACCCUGGACCUGCAUGUGAAACUGUUUUUCUUGAGUGUCGGAGAGGGAAUCGGAAUUCCGUGUGUAGCGGUGAAAUGCGUAGAUAUAAGGAAGAACACCAGUGGCGAAGGCGGAUUGCUGGACGGUAACUGACGGUGAGGCGCGAAAGCGUGGGGAGCAAACAGGAUUAGAUACCCUUGUAGUC